AGCGAACGCUGGCGGCAGGCCUAACACAUGCAAGUCGAACGAACUCUUCGGAGUUAGUGGCGGACGGGUGAGUAACACGUGGGAACGUGCCCUUUGGUACGGAAUAACUCAGGGAAACUUGAGCUAAUACCGUAUGUGCCCUUCGGGGGAAAGAUUUAUCGCCAUUGGAGCGGCCCGCGUCUGAUUAGCUAGUUGGUGAGGUAAAGGCUCACCAAGGCUACGAUCAGUAGCUGGGCUGAGAGGAUGAUCAGCCACAUUGGGACUGAGACACGGCCCAAACUCCUACGGGAGGCAGCAGUGGGGAAUCUUGCGCGAUGGGCGAAAGCCUGACGCAGCCAUGCCGCGUGAAUGAUGAAGGUCUUAGGAUUGUAAAAUUCUUUCACCGGGGACGAUAAUGACGGUACCCGGAGAAGAAGCCCCGGCUAACUUCGUG
rnacentral:rRNA from 1 species